rnacentral:miRNA from 1 species
UAUUGGUUUGGUCAAAAAGUUUGUUCAGGUUUUUCCAUGCAAUAUUAUGGAAAAACUCAAAGGACCUAUUUGGCCAACCCAACAU